rnacentral:rRNA from 1 species
CCGAAUUCGUCGACAACAGAGUUUGAUCCUGGCUCAGGACGAACGCUGGCGGCGUGCUUAACACAUGCAAGUCGAACGGAAAGGCCCAGCUUGCUGGGUACUCGAGUGGCGAACGGGUGAGUAACACGUGGGUGAUCUGCCCUGCACUCUGGGAUAAGCCUGGGAAACUGGGUCUAAUACCGGAUAUGACCAACUGUCGCAUGGUGGUUGGUGGAAAGCUUUUGCGGUGUGGGAUGGGCCCGCGGCCUAUCAGCUUGUUGGUGGGGUAAUGGCCUACCAAGGCGACGACGGGUAGCCGACCUGAGAGGGUGAUCGGCCACACUGGGACUGAGACACGGCCCAGACUCCUACGGGAGGCAGCAGUGGGGAAUAUUGCACAAUGGGCGCAAGCCUGAUGCAGCGACGCCGCGUGAGGGAUGACGGCCUUCGGGUUGUAAACCUCUUUCACCAGGGACGAAGCGUGAGUGACGGUACCUGGAGAAGAAGCACCGGCCAACUACGUGCCAGCAGCCGCGGUAAUACGUAGGGUGCGAGCGUUGUCCGGAAUUACUGGGCGUAAAGAGCUCGUAGGCGGUUUGUCGCGUCGUCUGUGAAAUUCUGCAACUCAAUUGCAGGCGUGCAGGCGAUACGGGCAGACUUGAGUACUACAGGGGAGACUGGAAUUCCUGGUGUAGCGGUGAAAUGCGCAGAUAUCAGGAGGAACACCGGUGGCGAAGGCGGGUCUCUGG